CCUAAGGUGGAGGAUAACCUCGGGAAACUGAGAAUAAUACUCCAUAGGUCUAGGAGGCUGGAAUGCACUUAGGCUGAAAACUUCGGUGCCUUAGGAUGAGUCUGCGGACUAUCAGGUUGUAGUCAGGGUAAAGACCUGACUAGCCUACGACGGAUACGGGUUGUGAGAGCAAUAACCCGGAGAUGAUAUCUGAGACACGAUAUCAGGCCCUACGGGGCGCAGCAGGCGCGAAAACUUCGCUCUGCGCGAAAGCGCGACGAGGGAAUCCCAAGUGUAUGCACGUUAGUGUAUACUGUUUCUUUGUCUAAAAAGCAGAGAGAGUAAGAGCUGGGUAAGACGGGUGCCAACCGCCGCGGUAAUACCUGCAGCUCGAGUGGUGAUCGUUAUUAUUGGGCCUAAAACGU
rnacentral:rRNA from 1 species